GGAAAAAAAUGUGAAAAAUAAGAGUCAACAAAAAAAAAAAAAAGGAUAUUUAUUUAUUGAUUUAUAAAUAAAUACCUUUUUUUGUUUUUUUUUUUGUUGGAUGUUUUUUUUUGUUGAUUUACUCUCUCUCUCUCAUUGGUGAUAUUAAGUAUUAGAAAUGAGAGAGUAUGGCGAGAUGAGAAAUGUUUUGACAUAACUGAUUAUAGAAAAAAGAAAAAUAAAUAAAU
rnacentral:ribozyme from 1 species